GACGAACGCUGGCGGCGUGCCUAACACAUGCAAGUCGAACGGGGUUGAGGUCUUCGGACCUUAACUUAGUGGCGAACGGGUGAGUAACGCGUGAGAAACCUGCCUUUCAGUGGGGGACAACAGUUGGAAACGACUGCUAAUACCGCAUAAUGUUAUUUGGGGGCAUCCCUGAAUAACCAAAGCUUUAUGUGCUGAAAGACGGUCUCGCGUCUGAUUAGCUAGAUGGCGGGGUAACGGCCCACCAUGGCGACGAUCAGUAGCCGGUCUGAGAGGAUGAACGGCCACAUUGGGACUGAGAUACGGCCCAGACUCCUACGGGAGGCAGCAGUGGGGAAUAUUGGGCAAUGGGGGAAACCCUGACCCAGCAACGCCGCGUGAAGGAAGAAGGCCUUCGGGUUGUAAACUUCUUUUACCAGGGACGAAGAACGUGACGGUACCCGGAGAAAAAGCAACGGCUAACUACGUGCCAGCCGCCGCCGUAACAC
rnacentral:rRNA from 1 species